UACAGAGGUCUCAAGCGUUGUUCGGAUUCAUUGGGCGUAAAGGGUGUGUAGGUGGCGCCGUAAGUCGGGUGUGAAAUUUCGGAGCUUAACUCCGAAACUGCAUUCGAUACUGCGGUGCUUGAGGACUGGAGAGGAGACUGGAAUUCAUGGUGUAGCAGUGAAAUGCGUAGAGAUCAUGAGGAAGACCAGUGGCGAAGGCGGGUUUCUGGACAGUUCCUGACACUGAGACACGAAGGCCAGGGGAGCAAACGGG
rnacentral:rRNA from 1 species